rnacentral:tRNA from 1 species
GCGGGUGUCGUAUAACGGCUAUUAUCCCAGUUUUCCAAACUGGUGACGGGGGUUCGAUUCCCCCCACCCGCACCA